CCUACGGGUGGCAGCAGUGGGGAAUAUUGCGCAAUGGGCGAAAGCCUGACGCAGCGACGCCGCGUGAGGGAUGAAGGUCUUCGGAUCGUAAACCUCUGUCAGCAGGGAAGAACGGUCACUGUGCUAAUCAGCCGUGAAUUGACGGUACCUGCAAAGGAAGCCCCGGCUAACUCCGUGCCAGCAGCCGCGGUAAUACGGAGGGUGCGAGCGUUAAUCGGAAUUACUGGGCGUAAAGCGCUCGUAGGCGGUAUGUCAAGUCAAAGGUGAAAUCCCCGGGCUCAACGUGGGAACGGCCUUUGAAACUGGCAAACUGGAGUGUAGGAGAGGAUAGUGGAAUUCCAGGUGUAGGAGUGAAAUCCGUAGAUAUCUGGAGGAACAUCAGUGGCGAAGGCGACUAUCUGGCACAUAACUGACGCUGAGGAGCGAAAGCGUGGGUAGCAAACAGGAUUAGAUACCCUUGUAGUC
rnacentral:rRNA from 1 species